GAUGAACGCUAGCUACAGGCUUAACACAUGCAAGUCGAGGGACCGGCGCACGGGUGAGUAACACGUAUCCAACCUGCCCUUUACUCGGGGAUAGCCUUUCGAAAGAAAGAUUAAUACCCGAUAUAAAGGAUGGGGAUGCGUUCGAUUAGGUUGUUGGUGAGGUAACGGCUAACCAAGCCUUCGAUGGAUAGGGGGUCUGAGAGGAAGGUCCCCCACAUGGGAAAUGAGAAACGGUCCAAACUCCUAGGGGGGGAAGCAGUGAUGAAUAUUGGUCAAUGGGCGCUAGCCUGAACCAGCCAAGUAGCGGGAAGGAUGAAGGCUUAUGGGUCGUAAACUUCUUUUAUAGAAGAAUAUGUAUUAUAUGAAUAAGGAUCGGCUAACUCCGUGCCAGCAGCCGCGGUAAUAC
rnacentral:rRNA from 1 species